UUGAACGCUGGCGGCAUGCCUUACACAUGCAAGUCGAACGGUAACAGGUCUUCGGAUGCUGACGAGUGGCGAACGGGUGAGUAAUACAUCGGAACGUGCCCGAUCGUGGGGGAUAACGCAGCGAAAGCUGUGCUAAUACCGCAUACGAUCUACGGAUGAAAGCGGGGGAUCGCAAGACCUCGCGCGGACGGAGCGGCCGAUGGCAGAUUAGGUAGUUGGUGGGAUAAAAGCUUACCAAGCCGACGAUCUGUAGCUGGUCUGAGAGGACGACCAGCCACACUGGGACUGAGACACGGCCCAGACUCCUACGGGAGGCAGCAGUGGGGAAUUUUGGACAAUGGGCGAAAGCCUGAUCCAGCAAUGCCGCGUGCAGGAUGAAGGCCUUCGGGUUGUAAACUGCUUUUGUACGGAACGAAAAGACUCUGGUUAAUACCUGGGGUUCAUGACGGUACCGUAAGAAUAAGCACCGGCUAACUACGUGCCAGCAGCCGCGGUAAUACGUAGGGUGCAAGCGUUAAUCGGAAUUACUGGGCGUAAAGCGUGCGCAGGCGGUGAUGUAAGACAGAUGUGAAAUCCCCGGGCUCAACCUGGGAACUGCAUUAGUGACUGCAUCGCUGGAGUGCGGCAGAGGGGGAUGGAAUUCCGCGUGUAGCAGUGAAAUGCGUAGAUAUGCGGAGGAACACCGAUGGCGAAGGCAAUCCCCUGGGCCUGCACUGACGCUCAUGCACGAAAGCGUGGGGAGCAAACA
rnacentral:rRNA from 1 species